rnacentral:SRP_RNA from 1 species
CGCUUGGCGUCGUGCGGGGUAUAAGCGUGAAUCCUGUCAGGUCCGGAAGGAAGCAGCAGUAAGCGAUAUUAGACCGGCGCUGCGACAUAUCCUGGCGCGA